rnacentral:misc_RNA from 1 species
AACCUGCUUGGGUAAGAGCCAACCUAGUGAAGAAUGUAUUCUAAACAGCUUUGGAAAAGCAUUUCAUCUCGGAGUUUUUCCUUUAAGAUUUAGCAUGAGUUGAACUCAGAAACAAACUUUUCUGGUGCUAUCAAGCAUGAGUUGGUUAUUCAGGAAACACUCACCAGAGUUUGAAUUCCAUUCAUUACAUUUGAGGUUAAUUGCAUGUAUAUCUACUACCACCAUUUGCAGAGGCAAUUCAAUUGCAAAUGAGAUGAAAGUUGUAAUCAAACUUUUCAAAUAGAAUUAUUUCUUGGAAUUUAUUACAAGAUUCAAAUCAUACUUAAAGAGGCACAAAAUGGUUAUUGUUGCAUGGAAGGCCUCAAACUUAAUAAAAUGAAGCAAUUUAUUGAAUAAAAAGAAUGAAG